GGGACACAGCUUGGCUCUCAACAGAUUAUAGAGAGAGGUAAAACUGAGAGACCUGCAAGAGAAAGAAAGACAAUACAAAAUCGUCAGACGAUGUUCUGGUAGCAGCAAAAAUGAGAGGUUCCAGUUUCCAGCUCCUUGCCUUGACUUCUGAAUCCGUGCCGAGUUUCCAGUUCCAGGAGAGCUGCGCCGAGCCGCGACUCCCGAGUAGACCUUGCCUUGUUACCGUGACUUCCUUGUUCCUGAAGCGAGAUUGACUUCGCUUUGUUUACCUUGCUCCUUUGACUUUGCUACAGGACUUUCCAAGUGGAUUUACAGUGUUUGUUUUCCAAUAUUGUUUCAUGGACAAAUUUUGAUAUCUAAGGGAAGCUAUCAAGCUACACUUGUGGAUUACAAAUUGGACAUUGAUGAACUCUUUCUGAAUUACAAUAAACUAUAUUUUAUGGACUAUUUCUUA